UACGUAGGGGGCAAGCGUUGUCCGGAAUUAUUGGGCGUAAAGAGCGUGUAGGCGGCCCGGCAAGUCCGCCGUGAAAGUCCAGGGCUCAACCCUGGAAUGCCGGUGGAAACUGUCGGGCUUGAGUUCGGAAGAGGCGAGUGGAAUUCCUGGUGUAGCGGUGAAAUGCGCAGAUAUCAGGAGGAACACCAAUGGCGAAGGCAGCUCGCUGGGACGACACUGACGCUGAGACGCGAAAGCGUGGGGAGCAAACAGG
rnacentral:rRNA from 1 species